UGAGGAAGUAUUGCACAAUGGAGGGAAACUCUGAUGCAGCAACGCCGCGUGGAGGAUGACGCAUUUCGGUGUGUAAACUCCUUUUAUAUGUCAAGAAAAUGACGGUAGCAUAUGAAUAAGCACCGGCUAACUCCGUGCCAGCAGCCGCGGUAAUACGGAGGGUGCAAGCGUUAUUCGGAAUCACUGGGCGUAAAGGACGCGUAGGCGGGAUGCCAAGUCUGAUGUGAAAUCCUAUGGCUUAACCAUAGAACUGCAUUGGAAACUGGUGACCUAGAGUAUGGGAGGGGGAGAUGGAAUUAGUGGUGUAGGGGUAAAAUCCGUAGAUAUCACUAGGAAUACCGAAAGCGAAGGCGAUCUCCUGGAACAAUACUGACGCUAAGGCGUGAAAGCGUGGGGAGCAAACG
rnacentral:rRNA from 1 species